UGAUGGUUAAGUACCUGAAAAGAAUCUUUACAUCAUACACUGAAAUGUGCCCAGUAUUUUAAAAAUGUCUAUUUAUAUGCACAUAAUUUGAUGUCUAUGCAUGAGAAUCAGAGAAUAGGUACAUUUGUUUUGUGGUACAAUAUGUCAAGGAUGCAUUCAGAAGUGAUUUCUUUCUUUCCUUCACUAAGGGUUUAUACUGCAGUUGUGUCUAAUGUAUUGUGAGUUACUAUUUAACAAUCACUGCCAAUACCCUUUCAUUGAUUCUGCUUUAGCUAGUGCAAUCAGCUGUUGUUGCUUUUGCUGCUCCCAUGGAUAUUAUAAAGACCUUUGUCUGUUUUAGAUAUCUAAGUGGUGGGGAAAUGUGUGGUUUGGGUUUUUUUUUUUUCCAGCAGUUAUUGAGAUUUGUUUCUGCACAUAUAUAGCAUUUGGCCUCACAGAAUUUCUUCCUUUGCUAGUCAAGACAUUGCUUACAAAUACAGAAAAAUUUAAUGAGAACAGAAUAACUUAGAUUUUCCUGCCGCAGAAUAAAUGUUCUCUAAUAUGUUUUCAUGUUUUUGUAAGGCUGCAAAAAUAAAGGUGAAGAUAAUUCCUGUUGGCUCAUUUUCUAUUUAUUUUUCAGUCAGGAAAGAUUCCCUCCACUCUUGAACUGGACUACAGAGUCAGCAAGCAGUGGGAUCCUGUGCAGUACUGGGAAGAAGUCAUCUCUCUGGAGACUGCCACUAGCUAUCCAAUAGGAAGGAAGACUGCUUUCUUUAACAAGAUUAAAAACUCUCUGCUGUCAUACGCCCUAACUGAAUCAUCUCAAACUGGAGCCGCACGCAGGAAGAUUGCUUUGUACCACAUUUCCGACUCAGCCCAAACAUUGCCGUACGCUGCUCUUUCACCUUCCUGUGGACAUUGCAGAGCUUCAGUUGGCCUGAAGCUUUGGUGGACAAAAGUUACACAACAGGAAACAAACAAGAAAUGGAGCCAAACGCAACAAACAAACCCCCAGCUGAAUGGAACAAGGAGAAAGAAGAAGAGCUCUGUAAAUCUUUCCGUGAACUGAAGCCCUGUGCUGACAUCUUCUCUUCUCAUCAUGACCCAGUAUUGUACAGAAGAUCCCAGCAUCUGCUGGAGUGACAGGCACCAAGAUGAAAUGUCUAUGUGGUACAGCACUAGAGGAAUUUUCUUUGCUUCUGUGUCUGCACGCAUCUGCUGAAUGUGAUUAUAUUUCUGCUUGGAAAAGCCUGGGCAUCCAUCCCUAAAGUAACAAAGAAAAGAAUCACUGGAGAAAUAUUACAUGAAUAUGAAGAAGGCUGAGGUGUCUCAACCAUACGAGGUGCUGACAAGGAAAACCAGAGGCUUUUGAAAGAACAGAGAAAUGGCAUGAAAGAAUUUCUGCCUGCUGUGUCAUGGGUGUCUUUCUAAAAAAGCUAAAGCAUUCCCAUAAGAAAAGGCUCAGGGAGACAUCUGCAGGUGCAAGACACAGUCCUAAGGGAACUGAUUAGCAUUAGAUGCAGUUAAAGAAAUUAGGUUGUGUUUCUCUUAUUGGAAGUGAAAUGUUAAUACCAAGUCUCAAGUAGAAAGACAGGGAAUUCGCCUGCUUGUAGGCUUCAAAACUCAAGAGAUUUAACAGCUGGGGAACAAGGGCAAGGCUGACUGUCAAGGCAGCAGGACUCAACUGAGAGUUGAAGGGAAUGGAGGUCUGAGAUCUUUUUAGUUCAUUCAGUUGUGCCUGCUGAAGAUAUUUCAGCAACUGAACAGCCUGUAGAACAGCCCUGAGUACAAAUGUGCGUAAGUCUUUUGAUUUUUGUGGAAACGUUCAUGUGAAUAAACUCACUCAUACACUUGAUUGGAUGCA
ensembl:lncRNA